UCACUUUGGCAGCAAACAUACUGAAAUUUGAAUGAUACAGAGAAAAUUAAAAUGGUCCCUGUGCAAAGAUGGCACACAAAUUUGUGAAGUGUUACAUAUUUUU